ACAACAGAACAACAAUUGCUGUUGCAACAGCUAAUUCAUUUUUUUUUGUAUACGUUCAUUUUUUUCAAAAUGUCAAAAGUAAAUAAAAUCGAAAACUAUCCAUCAGUGGAAAAAUUUAUUAUAUGAGAAGAGUGUGAGAAGGGAGUCGAAUAAAACUAUACGAAGAGUGUGAGAAGAGUGUGUACACUCUUCGAAAAGUGUAUUAUACUGACUUGGAUAGUCUACCAGAUAUAAUUGUAGCAACGGCUAAAGGAAAGAAAGGGACGAAAGGAAAUUAAGCUUCGAAUUCGCAAUGGCAAUUUUCAGGAUGUGGCGAGAAUACUUCGGAUUGGGCGUUUAAUGUCAAAGGUUAAUGUUACCUACAAAAAUUGGCCAUUAAAUGUUCAGGGUGAUGUUGCUGCUCCACAGACCGUUGUUUGGCACCGCGAUAUUGUUGCUGCUAAAUGUAUUAUGCUCAAAGAACUUUGUCGGGUGUUUGGCGUACUAGUGCCUGAUUCGUUGAGAAGACCACCAAACAAUGUCAACUGACAAGCAGCAGCAUUGAAUCCAUAAAUUAUCAAAUAAAACAAAUAAUAUAACGAUUAGUUAGCUUAGGUAGGCUUGACACCAUUUGUGUUACACAAAUCUUGUGGCCUUGUUGUGCGUUCAUAAGAACAGUACAACGGUAGUAUGGAGGGAAGGAGUCCGUAGCAGCAGGCCAUGACUUUGUAAAGAGAUCCUUAAAAAGUCCAUGUGAUGUGAACUCCAUCAGUGAAAGAACUUCAAUUUGAAAUUGUUCCUUCAAAGAACAUAAUUCCCUCAUUCAUAAUGACUUGCUCUCAAAAUAUUUUCU